rnacentral:rRNA from 1 species
CCUACGGGAGGCAGCAGUGAGGAAUAUUGGUCAAUGGGCGCGAGCCUGAACCAGCCAAGUCGCGUGAGGGAAGACGGUCCUAUGGAUUGUAAACUUCUUUUGUCAGGGAGCAAUUGGGUCCACGCGUGGGCUUAGCGAGAGUACCUGAAGAAAAAGCAUCGGCUAACUCCGUGCCAGCAGCCGCGGUAAUACGGAAGGUCCGGGCGUUAUCCGGAUUUAUUGGGUUUAAAGGGAGCGUAGGCCGGUCUUUAAGCGUGCCGUGAAAUUUUGUGGCUCAACCAUGAGAGGGCGGCGCGAACUGGAGACCUUGAGUGCGCGGAAGGCAGGCGGAAUUCGUGGUGUAGCGGUGAAAUGCUUAGAUAUCACGAAGAACCCCGAUUGCGAAAGCAGCCUGCCGCAGCGUUACUGACGCUGAAGCUCGAAAGCGCGGGUAUCGAACAGGAUUAGAUACCCGGGUAGUC